UACGUAGGGUGCUAGCGUUGUUCGGAAUCACUGGGCGUAAAGCGCGCGUAGGUGGCUAUGCAAGUCAGAGGUGAAAUCCCCAGGCUCAACCUGGGAACUGCCUUUGAAACUGCAAAGCUUGAGUGUUGGAGGGGAUAGCGGAAUUGCUAAUGUAGAGGUGAAAUUCGUAGAUAUUAGCAGGAACACCGGUGGCGAAGGCGGCUAUCUGGACAACAACUGACACUGAGGCGCGAAAGCGCGGGGAUCAAACAGG
rnacentral:rRNA from 1 species